rnacentral:lncRNA from 1 species
ACACGUCCCUUUCUGAGCCUACUUUCAUAUGAGUCCUUCUGCUCACCAAAACUCCAAAAUUUCUCACAAUAAACCUUUUCACGCAUUGCACUUUUGUAAAAAUUGCAAUUUAACCUCUUUGAUACACAAUUUCUUACUCAAAACUCACCCGCAUAUGUGUUUUUCCAGUAAGUUACACCACCUCAAAAAUUAAGUAAUUUGACACAUAAAAUAUC